rnacentral:tRNA from 1 species
AGUCGGGUAGUUUAAAAAACAUCAACUUGUGGCGUUGAAGAUAUCUAUUUUAGGUUCUGGCUA